rnacentral:rRNA from 1 species
AGGAAGCCCCGGCUAACUCCGUGCCAGCAGCCGCGGUAAGACGGAGGGGGCAAGCGUUGUUCGGAAUUACUGGGCGUAAAGCGCUCGUAGGCGGUUGAUUACGCGAGCAGUGAAAGCCCUGGGCUUAACCCAGGCCGUGCUGUUCGAACGGGUCGACUAGAGUGCCGGAGGGGAAGGCGGAAUUCCUGGUGGAGCGGUGAAAUGCGUAGAGAUCAGGAAGAACGUCGGUGGCGAAGGCGGCCUUCUGGACGGACACUGACGCUGAGGGGCGACAGCGUGGGGAGCGAACGGGAUUAGAUACCCCGGUAGUCCACGCCGUAAACGAUGGACACUAGGUGUGGGAUUGCAGAGCGAUUCCGUGCCGGAGCUAACGCA